UAAACUUUAAGACUAAAUUUAAUAUUCAGGGUGAAAGUAGUUUAAUAAUAAGAGGUUUGUAAAAUACUUUUUUAUAGAUAGGUAAAAUUUUUUGAUUUAAAAAAGAUUAUUAUUUUUAAAAUUUUAUUUCAUAGUUCUACCAAGAUUAAGAUUUAAACUAGGAUUAGAUACCCUAUUAUACUUAAUUUUAAAUUUAUUAACUAAGGGAUUAUGAAUAUGUUAUUUAAAACCUAAAGAACUUGGCGGUGUAUUUAAAUUUUUAGGGGAACUUGUUUUAUAAUCGAUAUUCCACGAGACGCCUUACUUCUUAUUGCAAUCAAUUUGUAUACCUUCGUCGAAAGUUAAUUUUAUAUAAAAAGUAAUUAACUAGUAAAAUUAUGAUUUAUGAUGUCAGAUAAGGUGCAGUUUAUUAAGGAGGAGAAAAUGAGUUACAAUUAUUUAAUCAUAAUACGAAUAGUUUAUUUAAAUGAUUAAUUUUGAAGGAGGACUUAAAAGUAAGUUU
rnacentral:rRNA from 1 species